CGUGUCCGCGCCGCGCAUAAACGUCCCGUACCGGCCGUCCGCGUUCCGUUCGGUCCGUCGCGUCCUCUGCCGCACGGCAUUCUCGCGUGGACGACGUCGUCAGGCGACAGGCGGACAUCCCGCACGCGGUUUUACGUCGGUUAAUACCCGUACGCGUGUACACACGCACACGCGCGUAUAUUUACAUAUAUACAAAUAUUAUAUUCGCGAAUCGCGAAACGAGCCGGAUCGGUUUGCGUUUCGCACGCGCGCGUACGCAUAGUGUUACGCACGUUUACACACGCGUCGGAUGUUCCGUAUCGUUUUUCGCACCGUCGCUGUCGUUCCGC